UGAAAAUUACAAGGCAAAAACUCUUAAGUCUAAACUAAUCUGAUUAACGAGAAGGCAAAAACAUAGUUAAUUAAGAUUGAAGGAGAAAGAAAAUACUUACACAAUGCGCUGAGGAUUCCAGAGGAUGGAAUAGGUGUGAAAAGCAGCAGAGGGGUCAAACCAGAGGUGAAAUUGUUGUUCUCUGUCACCUUUACCAUUUGUGAAUACAUUUGUGUGAAGAGUAUAAGGGUCACCACUUAAAUUUCCCAAGAAUUCAAAGUCUAUCUCAUCCCAUGUGGAUCCCGGUGAUUUUAACUGCAUGGAAAAGAAAAGCCUAAGUAUCAGCAUGCAUGAUGAUCAUAGCUAGCUAUAUAUUUUGCAUAAAUAGCUGCGUUUUCAUUGAUUUCUAAAAAAGGGAGGAACUUACAUAAUAAGCAGUGACAGUACCAGCAGAGUUGCCAGGGACAAGCUUAAGCUGCAUGUCAAUCUUGCCAUAUAGAUACUCAUUCAUGGACUGGAAUCCUGAGCCAGAGGCUUUAUCAAGGGACAGAGUAAGAAGCUGGCCGUUGUUGAGUAUCUUCGCACGCCCAUCUCCCCAAGUGAUGUCAAAAUCUUUGUAGAAGCUACCAGCAGAGGCAACCAUCAAAGUUCCAAGCACUAGAAACAAAUGCAACAUUGAAGCCAUUGAUAUAUGCUUUGAAAUGAGCAAUAACAAGAUAGAAGUACUAUUCGUAAAUUGAAAUUGGAAACUGAAGUGAUGAAUGUGUUUAUGUCCUCACCAGGGUUUGGUUUUUAUAAGUUUGAUUCAGCUAAGCAGAGGAAAGUGACGGGAAGGCCCACUGAGGUGGGCUGCGGCCAGUUGUUUGGAUGAGAAAAGUGCAAUAAAAUAGCUGUGCAUGUAGCGUUAACAAACAUGAUCAAAACCAGGACAUUUUUUUAUUAUUAUUACGCGGUUUUGCAUUAUUUUUUCAGAGACCGAUGUAAUUGUCUCGUUGCUCCCCUAGUGCACAUCACCAGCUAAGUCUUAGAUUUUCCAACAACCACCAUUAAGAACAGUAUAAGGCAAACACGCAAAAUUACGAUUUUAAAAGUUAAAAAGGGGGGUAAAAGCAAAGCCAAAAAAAAAGUUGAAUUGACUUUCCGAGGCCUUCAUUAUUUUAUUUUUGUUCAUUUAUUGUAGUUAUAUUACAAAAAAAAAUAGUACUAUAAUUAAAAAUCCAUCAGAAUUAUGUCCGAGUCAGCUCGCAAUUUUUCCCCUUUUCCAAACAGAGAAAUUUUUUAACUCCCAUCUUAUAUCUUCUAGACUGUGACCAAAUUUUCGUUGGGCUGAUGAAAAUAGCGAUAUUAUCUUGUACAAGCUUUGCUUCCUGUCGUUUUCCUUUACAACAAAUCGGAAUAUUAUAUCUUACUUUUUAGUUUUUCAACAACUUUACGUGCAAAUAUGGAAGAUGUAAUAACAAGUUGCAAGUUGCUCCUUGUCGGCAUUCAAUGAGCUAGGCAAGCUGUAAAAUUGGCCCAUGAAUUAAUAAUCAGAUUAAUUAUGGAGAAGAGUGAAUUCAGAGUUCAACUUUUACUUGGCUAUUAACACUUGAACCAAGUUUUUCCAGCUCACCUCCUAACAGCGAAGUUCACAAGUUUUAUAAGAAAGCUUUUUCUUGGGCAACCCAAUGAAAAGCAGACAAAAUCAUGAGAUCCCUCUAAUUAAUUAAAUUUAUUGCCACUUAAACAAUCUCUAAUGUUUGUUUUUUCAACCAUUUUGAUAGUGACCAUAUGGCACAUGCUAGUAAAAUUCUUGAAUAAAACAUUAUUAUACAACUUAAUUUGACAAUCUUAUUUAAUUCAAUGGUCGUUAUUAGUUAGUAUCAGAGAAAAACUGUGAAACAAGUGAGAUUUGCAAGGUUGAGAGGCUAAAAACUAAUUAUUCAAGCAAGCCUGAUAAAUAUGUGUAAUGAUAUUAAUUGAGUCUCAUAUCGCUAAAUUAAAACUUGGCACAUAAGCUUAUAAACACUUGAUAUCCCUCUUUUUACAAGCUGGAAGGCCAUCUUUACAGAUGGAGUAAAUUGUACAAGGCUACUACCCACCUCAUGUGCGUUUCAAAAAGUCACGUAGCUCAACCUAAGGGCUUGGACGUCGGUCUUGAAAGAAGGGUGGAUUGAAAGUUUGUAACGUUUCUAAUGGGUAAAUUUUGGCAUAACCCUUUCGUGAAGUGAUAAUUUUCAAAUUGUCAUUCCUGUUAUUGAAAACAUCAAAUUAUCUCUCAAAAAUCAUUAUUUGUCUGUUACUUUUAACGGCUAAAAGGGUAAAAAAAUAUUUGUACAUUCCUCUAACAAUCAAUAAACAAAAAAAAAAGUCAAACAUUUAUGCGGGUUAUUUUUUAUAGGCUAAAUCUUUUUAAGUUUUUCAAAACACAUACAAAUAUUUUAAAUAUUUAUGAUAUGCAUCCCUAAUAUUUUAAAAAUAUUUUUCAUUUUGCACCUAUAUGUCUAAUUUUGUUCGAACUGAUUAAAUUUUAAUUUUUUGUAUUUUAAAACUUUAUUUAUUUUAAAAAAUAAAUAAAGAAAUUAAUUAAAGUUAUCAAUGAAAAAAGAAUAAUAUUUUACAUAUUUUAUAUUUAUUAUUAUAAUCAUUAUUAUUCUUUUUUUCUUUUGCAAAGGUAUUUAAAAAAAUAUAUACAUAUAAUAAAAAUCAAAGAACAAAAGAAAAAUGCUACCACAGACUUAAUCUAAAGCUUCAAAACUCUUCUCACCAAAAACCACUAUCAUCGCACACAACCCAAAAUUCUUCAAACCCUUUGCUUAUUCACCAAACUGAAAAUAAUAAACAACAAUAAAGUAAAUUCAAUCUAUUAUUAAUAAUAUGGUUAAUUCAAUAUUAAAGAUUAUUCAUAAUCUAAAAUUAAGGAAUCCCAAAUAUCAAAUUACAACAAUUCCUAAUUUUCUAGUAACAGUAGCUCAAUUGAACGAACAAAAUAAAAAUUUGAAACAACAAUCCCAAACCUUAGAAACAAUCAUGGGUAGUCGCGAUGUUAAAAAGUUGUUGUAAGAUGAUGUCCACGACGACCUACAACUCCACGGCUGUCAUAGCCACGCCGUGGUCAUUCUCGAUUGGAAAAGAGCAAAAGAAGUAUGGGUCUUGACUGCUGAAUGGUUGUGAUAAGAGGAAAAUCAAUGACUCUCUUGACUGCCAAAGAAGAAGAAUUAAGACGAAGCUCUCGGCGAUGCCAUGGCAGUGCUUUCGCCUGAGAUUGUUGAGUUGAUUGAUUGUUCAUACAAUGAAUGACACGAUUAAAUCGACGGUGAGUUGUAUGGUUCUGCAGUGACAUUAAGGACGCAAAUAAUUCAGGUUUUGGUCGCCGAAUUUUGAGGAUUUUGAUGGUCUCUGUCAACACCCCUUUGCAAGUUAUAGAUUAUGACUUCUGGGUUUUGGAUUUUAGUUUGUAGAAAUUAAGUUUUAGUUUUGAUUCAUUGUAGGAUUGGAUUUGAAUAUUGAUUGUACUUUUGUCAUGCACUUGUAAAGGGAAAAAAAUGAAGAAAAAGAUGAAAAAGGAGUAAGGCAAAGAAAAAAAAAUGAAAGAAAAACUCAAAGGAUUAAGCAAGAGGAAAAAAAUGAAGAAAAAGACGAAGAAGAAGUAAGGAAGAUGAAAAAGAAAUGAAGAAGAGAAAUUCAAUGUUUCAUUUAUUUUUUUCAUUUUAAUAUUGAUUUUUAUUAUACCUAUGGACUAUAAAAUGUCUACAUAAGAAAACAAAUGGGUGAUGGAAUAUUUUAGAAAUUGUAAAGGGACAAAGGAAAUAUAUUUUUAAAUAGUAGGUGUGUAACAAUUUAAGUUAAUGAUUUUCGUUAUUAGCGGGCUAUAUUGUACUUUCACGAGUUAACGGCAGUCAAUAGUUAAAGAUAACGAGUUUUGAGGGGUAGCUUAAUAUUUUCAAAAGUAAGGAGAGCAAUUCACUUCAUGAAGGGGAUAGACCGAAAUUAACUCCAAUUCUAAUUGAGUCUCACAUCACUAAAAUUUGUUAUUCUAUUUAUGAGUCAAAUCUUCAUGUACGUAUUCUAGUCCACCUGCUAAGUUAAAAAGUUUGAAGGAUGGAUUCUAUCAAUUUUUGCAUAACAAUUUAUUAUUCUAAUCACUAUUGAUGUCAACGAUAUUCUUGGAUAUAUAUAAGCCAGUUCUACCUAAUGUGUGCAUCACAAUUUAUUAAUUUGUUUAGUAGUGAAAUCCGUGACCAUCGUGGUAUAGUCAAUUUAAUUUGACGAACCACAAAUAUUGCUCGUUAUUGUUUUGGAUUAUCCUCAUAUUGGCAUGUUAUUGUUGUGUGUACUAUUCUUUGUCAAUGAAGCAAAUUGCGUUUUUCUCAUCUCCCCCCCUCCCCCCCCCCCCCCCUGAUUAAAGUCCCAAGUAAGCAUGAGGGAGGUGUUAAUUUGAUCAUCAAUCUUGAUCGACAGGGAUUUCUUUUAAUGUCAAAAGUUCUUUACUUUUGUCAUAUAAAUUCAAGUUUACCAAGAGAUUUCUUUUGUCAACAGGCGAAAAAAAUCUAAAAAAUUAAGUUUACAAAGAAGGUAGUACGGAAAGAAAUAUUAUAUUACAAGACAUUUUAUAGUACAUGGUAAAAUGCGGCCAAUUUCGCCUUUGUGAUCGCCAAAUAAUCAAAGAAUCAAACGGCCCAAACUACAUACAUAUUGAAUAGCCGACUAACUACAACGAAUUAUCAAAUGAUAGACGCAUAUAUUUGUUGAUUUAGCAACUUCUCUAAGCGGUUCUGCAUUCUACAGGGAGACCCUGGGGAUAUCGCUUUGUGUCAGUGCAGUAAUUGUAAAUCAUGUAAUUCUGUUGCACCCACUUCAGCCUGUUUUGACUUGAUGAAUCAAGCUCCUGCGAAAACCAGGCUCUGCUUCUGGACCUAGAGGAAGCGCAAGAUGAUUUUCCAUUAGACCAGAGACAAGCAUCAGCUUUGAAGUUUCUGUAAGAAGCAGUGAAGGGAGCAUGUGUCCAAUCUGUCUUAACAAGGCCACCUCUCGUAGCCCAGUCAUCAGCAUUCCAAAGAGAAGAGUAUAUUCUCAUUGGCUGAUUCUUUGGGAAUGGCACUCCAAUUGAUUCUGAGUUUUUGAAUUCUCUUAUAGGUGUGCCAUCAACAGAGAAGCUGGAAAUUACAAGGCAAAAACUCGUAAGUCUAACUGAAUUGAUUAAUGAGAAGGCAAUUAGGCAAACAUAGUUAGGAUUUAAGGAAAAAGGAAAAUACUUACACAAUGCGCUGAGGAUUCCAGAGGAUGGAAUAGGUGUGGAAAGCAGCAGUGGGGUCAAACCAGAGGUGAAAUUGUUGCUCUCUGUUUCCUUUUCCAUUUGUGAAUACAUUCGUAUGAAGAGUAUAAGGAUCA
rnacentral:lncRNA from 1 species